rnacentral:lncRNA from 14 species
UGUGUGGGUAGGGCCCUAUUGAAAUUCAGGAGAUUCUGCAAUAGUGCAGGGUUCUUUCUGUGAAAGUUCAGUUGCAAGAUCAGGACUCUACUGUGACUCCUUACUGUGCAUUCUGUCAGUGUAUCAUUGAUAGUGCUGGAACCUGCCUUUUGGGAUAAUGUAAGUCCUGCUUUUCCCCCACAUGUACUUUAGAUAUGAAAUAAUCAUAAAACAUUUUUAGUCAGAAGAUGAAUGUCAUUUACAUGCAUUCUUUUAAUUAUUUUUUUUUGGCAGUACCAAAUACUAUAUUCCUCAAAACUUCUUAAUGGCACUGAGGCUUUGUGGAUAAUUGGUCACAUGAUGAGAAAAUUCAGCUGGGAGUAUAUGGGCUUUGAAGAAGACUCAGUGAGUAGUUGUGAAUCACCUGUAUAAACCAGGGAUUCAAGAUGACAGUUACAACUGAGAACCGAGGACAAUGAGUUACGUAUGCUAAACUACAGUUUGUGCUAAGGAGAAGCCUUAUUUCUUUUUCAAACAGAGAACUUAAUGAUAUUGAAAUGUAUCAUGUUCAAUAGCUCAAAACACAAUUCCGUUAUUUUUGUUAGGGGAUGAGAAUUUUCAAAGUUCUAGCUUAUAACUGAACAGUGAUUCUAUAGAGAUUUUGCAGUAUAAAAUGUAAUCCAGAUUUGAGAACAUUGGGUGUUUCAUUUUGCAUAAAAAAAUCUUGAUCAGCAUGUUUUGUUUUUAAAAAUGUUUAGACCCAAUGGUUUACUGUUUUCACAUUUUAAUCCCAUUGGGUGUAUUUAUUACUUGUACUAAAAGAAGAGGAAGAUUACCUGGUGGCAAAAAAACCCCAAGUAUGACCCUCUAGCUGUGCCUGCCCCACCCCAAAUCAGAUCAAUAGAAUUGCCUCAGAAUAGAUCUAGUUUCAGAGAAGUGGGAAAAAGAUGACACACUAGCGAGUGGGGUAUGAGGAAUCCCCUGGAUGUUUCUUAUAUAUCUAGUUUUUUCACUUGUCAACACUGAGAGGCAGAUCACCUAGGUGUGACUGCUUCUCUUUCCUGUGAUGGCAACUUCCCAGUACUUUGAGGGAGAUAAUGUCAGCUCUGUUCUGCCUGCAGUAGUGCUGCUACAAAUAUUAUUUGGAAGAAAAGGAACUCUGAAUUGUCUUCUGCUGUAACCAGCUCUCCAUUACUCACUGCUGCUUAUCCCUAUUGUUGAGCACUUGAUCUGAUUGUGUCUUUGAUUUAACCCAUGCUGUAAAUGACUGAAACUAGAACAGUGAGAAAGCAGAUACCAAGAAGAGGAGUUGGUGUUUUGGAGGGAGUGAGCAUUUGCUACACAGCUACACGUUGUGUGGGCUUGGGAAUACUUGAGCCGGAAUACAAAACUACAACAACAGAAAGUAAAGUUUCUUUUGGUGGCAAACCAAGGUGAUAGCCCUGGUUCUGUGCACUAGGAAGGAAGAGUAAAGGAACGUGCCUGAGCAUUCUGCAUGUUAAUUGUAAGUUUAAGUGGUGAAAUCUUUUUCUCUGCUGCUGUUUGCACUUGGCUUGUAUUGUGACUGUCCUGUCUUCAAGCUGGAUGUAGCAUGUUUCGUUUAUGUUGAAUGAGGCACCCAUCAUGUUAUAACAAACAUUAUUUUUCUUCAACCCUUGAAAGUCAAAACGUGGUAGCUUAGAUAGCUGUAAUGUAUUAGUAAUAAAUGUGACAUGAAAGAAUUUUCUCA